rnacentral:misc_RNA from 1 species
UCCGGCUUAACGCCGGCAGUCCCCCCAGAGUCCCCGGCCGAACCGCUGGCAACUGGGAGCGAGGGUUGCGCUCGUUGCGGGACUUAACCCAACAUCUCACGACACGAGCUGACGACAGCCAUGCAGCACCUGUGUUCCGGUUCCCUUUCAGGCACACCCACCUUUCAGCAGGCUUCCAGACAUGUCAAGGGUAGGUAAGGUUAUUCGCGUUGCAUCGAAUUAAUCCACAUCAUCCACCGCUUGUGCGGGUCCCCGUCAAUUCCUUUGAGUUUUAAUCUUGCGACCGUACUCCCCAGGCGGUCAACUUCACGCGUUAGCUGCGCCACCGAUGAGCAAGCUCACCGACGGCUAGCACCCAUAGUUUACGGCGUGGACUAC